GUACGCGGUCCUGACUUGUGGCUAGGGGUUCCUCGGAACGCGUUCCUCAGGCUGCAGCGGGAGAGGGACGGUGCCUGCGGUUCCGUUUCUCCUUAGGAGCUGUACCCCACCCGCCCUACGUCCGCUUCCGGAGGCCAUGAGCAGCUGGGUGCUCGCGGGGGGCGUUUUCAUCGAUUAGUGGCGGCGCUGUCAACUCACCUGCCAAUUGACCUUGACCGACGCCGGCCCUGUCCUCUUGGAAGGAGAAAUGAAGAGUGAAGGCUUUGACUUCCUCAGCUUUUUUUUUUUUUUUUUUUUUUUAGAUGGAGUCUCUUUUUUUUUUCCGAGAUUGAGACGGGGGUCUGUGGCCCAGGCUGUAGUGCAGUGGUUCGAUCUCGACUCACUGCAGCCUCCAACCCCGGGAUUCAAGCGAUUCUCCAACCUCAGCCUAUGGGGCAGCUGGGACCACAGGCGCGCGCUACCACGCUCGGCUUGAAGAGAUGAGGACUCUAUGUUGCUCAGGCUGGUCUUGAACUCCUGGGCUCAAGUGAUCCUCCGCCUCGGCCUCUCAAAGUUCUGGGAUUACAGGCGUGAGCCACCGUGCCCGGCCUUACUCAGAUUUUUCUUAAUCCCAUAAAGUAACAAUGAGUUGUGUCCUUUAACCCAUGUGGAAGGAUUUUCUACAGAAACGGAUUUACAAUGAGACAUAACGAUGUGGCCGGGCGCGGUGGCUCAUGCCUGUAAUCCCAGCACUUUGGGAGGCCCAGGAGGGCGGAUCACCUGAGAUCGGGAGUUCGAAACCAGCCUGACCAACAUGGAGAAACCCCGUCUCUACUAAAAAAUACAAAAGUAGCCGGGUGUGGUGGCGAAUGCCUGUAAUCCAAGCUACUUGGGAGGCUGAGGCAGGAGAAUCGCUUGAACCCGGGAGGCGGAGGUUGCGGUGAGCCGAGAUCGCACCGUUGCACUCCAGCCUGGGCAACAAGAGCAAAACUGUCUCAAAAAAAAAGAAAAAAGAAACGUAACAGAGUGUUAAUAAAAUGUUAUGCCGUCAUUUUAAUGCAUUACAAAAACUUCAGAAUAUUUUUGGGUCUACCUCUCUGGAAGGGAGUUAUGCCUUAUUCUUAAUUUUUAAAAUUUCCUUGUAAAAUGCUGUUUUAUGGCUUUAAUGAUAGUAAACGACAAAAGAUAAACUUUUUUAGUAUGCUCUUGACAAAAGUUCCGAAAGUUUUCUGAAAUUUUACUAGUUUGAGAUCCCCAAUUUAGGAAACCGAUUUAGUGGAGAGAGCUUUGCCUAUUUUUGGCCCUUUGGGUCGGAGAAUGUGAUAUAAAGCCGAAGAUUUACUCUGCCAGACAGUCUUAAGAGGUCACUAACGUUUAGCUAUUGACAUUCAGCAAAAAUUGUGGAUUACCUAUUAAAUGCUAGACCAGGGGACAACUGUUAUUAAGUCAGUGUUUCAGCAUUACUGAAAGAAAAGUGGCCUAUAAAGGUAAGGGAGAGGAAGAGUUUCUCAGAUACCAGCCUUCGAUGAUUAACAAAGUCCAGCCUCAAUCAUUCUGGAAUCCAGAAUAUUGAUGGCUGGAAGGCUGGUUGUACAAGUUUAUUGGGCUAGGCGUCGUGGUUCAUGACUGUAAUUCCAGCACUUUGGGAGGUGGGGGAGGGCAGAUCACCUGAGGUCAGGAGUUCGAGACCAGCCUGGCCAACAUGGUGAAACCCCGUCUCUACUAAAAAUACAAAAAUUAGCCAGGUGUGGUGGCACACACCUGUAAUCCCAGCCUCUCAGGAGGCUGAAGCAUGAGAAUCGCUUGAACCUGGGAGGCAGAUGUUGCAGUGAGCCAAGAUCACGCCACUGCACUCCAGCCUGAGCCACAGAGGGAGACUGUCUCCAAAGAAAAAAAAUAAAAACCUGGAAAUUUUAUUGAAAAAUGAAACCUUCAAAAUGUGCCUUGACUACUUCUUUAGCUCCUCUUCCUUAGUGCCUUAGGUCUAAAUCAAAUGUUACGCUCGACC
rnacentral:lncRNA from 1 species